AGCAGUAGGGAAUCUUCCACAAUGGACGCAAGUCUGAUGGAGCAAUGCCGCGUGAGUGAAGAAGGGUUUCGGCUCGUAAAACUCUGUUGUUGAAGAAGAACGGGUGUCAGAGUAACUGUUGACAUCGUGACGGUAUUCAACCAGAAAGCCACGGCUAACUACGUGCCAGCAGCCGCGGUAAUACGUAGGUGGCAAGCGUUGUCCGGAUUUAUUGGGCGUAAAGCGAGCGCAGGCGGUUAUUUAAGUCUGAUGUGAAAGCCUUCGGCUUAACCGAAGAAGUGCAUCGGAAACUGAAUGACUUGAGUGCAGAAGAGGACAGUGGAACUCCAUGUGUAGCGGUGAAAUA
rnacentral:rRNA from 1 species